GAAUAAAACAGGGCACUCCCAUCACCUCUAGCACUCAGGAGAUCCCAGGGGUUUUAGGAGCUGGUUCAGAGACUGAAUAUAUAUUUCUCAUGAUGUCACAGGGGUGCACCCAGUUUUGUGACCUACUUCCUGUGUGACUUUGAGUGACUUAACCUCCUGGGCCUGUUGCCUCACCUGGACAUUGAGGAUCAAGGCACCUCCCUCCCUCAUAAGGCUGCUGGUACAUGAAUUCAUGCCAUCAUCCCCAAGAUACACUCAGUGCCUGGUACAUAACAGUGGUCCAGAGGUCACCGGCCCCCUGGGCGCUUGGCCAGGCUGCGUCCCCCUGUGAACUUGCCCUGGUUUGGUUGGGCCAUGGGUGUCUUUGCAGACACCGACUCCCUUGAGCUGGGUGAAGGGGAGCAAGUCUGGGGAAGGCUUUGCCCUCUGCCCCGUUUCCAUUUGCUUGGCUGUUAAGCCAGGGACUUCCGCAGGGAAGAUUUCCUUUCCUGAACUUCACGGAUAAGAAUCCCCGUGGGUUCUUCUUAACAUGGAAAUUCUGGGCCCUCUUAUAUCCAUUAAAUCAGAACCUCCAGGGGAGGGAGAGGAAGCCUGCAGCUUUAACAAGGGCCCCGUUGAUUCCUGUUUUGGGGGGAGGCUGGGAGAUGCCACGUGCCCAGGUAGGCCCGUCCAGUGAGGAGUUCCCAUUGUGGCUCAGCAGGUUAAGAACCUGACACAGUGUCCAUGAGGAGGUGGGGUCGAUCCCUGGCCUUGCUCAGUGGGUUGAGGAUCUGUCAUUGCUCCAAACUGCAGUGUAGUUUGUAGGCACGGCUCAGAUCUGGCAUUGCUGUGGCUGUGGCAUAGGCUGGCAGCUGCAGCUCCCAUUCGACCCCUAGCCCAGGAAUUUCCAUGUACCACAAGUGCAGCCCUAAAAAGAAAAAAAAACGUAGUUGAUACUUGAAAUGUGGUCCCCAAAUGGCAGCGCUGACAUGUUCUGGAGUUUGUGAAGGAGGUUUUCAGAGUGUGGUGCUGGCUGCCAGCGCCAGCUUCACCUGGGAGCUUCUUAGAAAUGCAGACUCUUGAAUUCCACGGAGACUUAGGGAAUCAGGCACUGGGGUGGGGGUGGGGGGGCUUCUGGUCUAUGUUUGAACAGCUGCUCCCCGCCCCCCCACCCAGGGGAGUCAGGCUUGAGAGCCUCUGCUCUAUGCCCUAGAUUUAAAAAAAAAAAAAAAAAAAAAAAAAAAAAAAAAAACAGUGCAAAUUGCUUUUGUGUUUAUUUAUUUAUUUUUGCUUUUUUUAGGGCCGCACCAGUGGCAUAUGGAUGUUGCUAUUCUAGGGGGUAGAAUCGGAGCUACGGAUCAGCCUCUACCACAGCUCACAGCAACGCCAGAUCGCCAACCCACUGAUUGAGGCUGGGGAUCGAACCCGUGUCCUCAUGGAUGCUAGUCGGAUUUGUUUCUCCUGUGCCCCAACUGGAACUCCUGUGCCCCCGAUUUGAACGAGUGAACAAGACAAUACAAAGAGCAUAGAAAUGGCUGCACUCUGGGCCUGGCUCCAUGUCCCAUCUGGGAAAAAGGUGUAACAUCCCCUUCCUGGUGGACGUCGGAGUUCAGACGUGGUACCUGGUGAUUUCACCCGCUCAGUCUCUGUAAGCCUUGGUAUUCCUGCCACUGUCUGAUAAGAUGUUCUGGUUUUUUUCUGUCUGCUUUCCCACUCCACGCCCAUGUUUUCUUUGCUCUCUCAAAAGCGGCUGCGUGCAGACACUGCGGAGGUCCUCAGAGCCAGGAACGACUCACGUGCCCAGAAGCCACACUGCCCACCAAACUGCCGACACCUGCCCACAGGUGCCUGGACAUUCUUUGAGCUAAGAUUCAGAGAUGUGGGCUCCUCUCCUCUCCAGGGAAAGUUGGGGGGAAGCGAACUCAAACUCUGUUGUUGGUCUACACUGCCUUUCGCCAGAGGAGCAGAAGAACAAACAGAAGCCACAUGUCCUGUGCCAAAUGCCUGGCCUGUUGACAGAUCUGCUGUCUUGGUGCCACUUCAUAGGCACAGCCCGCCUUCCUCCUUAUGUAGCCACUUCUUAAAAUGUAUGCUUAAUUUCACAAAUCCUCUUCCAGGCCUGUUCCGAGCACUUUAAAUCCAUUGAUUCGGUUAAGCCUCCCACUGUCAUUCUGCCCAUCUUACAAGGGAGGAAACCAGGACUUGGAGGGGGUUAGGAAACUUGCCCACAGUCGUACCAUUUGUCAGUUCUAUGGUGGUUCCGUGGUGAUUGUACUUCAACUUUGAGGAAAUUUCAUAGAGAUGGGACCUAGCACCUGCAGGGCCUUAAAUCAUCGGCCUCAGGGAAUUCCCAUUAUGAUUCAGUGUUAACAAACCCGACGAGUAUCCAUGAGGAUGCAGGUUCAACCCCUGGCCUCGCUUGGUGGGUUACGGAUCCGGCGUUGCUGUGAGCUGUGGCAUAGGUCACAGAUGUGGCUUGGAUCCUGCAUUGCUGUGGUUGUGGUGUAGGCCAGCAGCUAUAGCUCCAAUUAGACCCCCCUAGCCUGGGAACUUCCAUAUGCCGUGGGUGUGGCCC
rnacentral:lncRNA from 1 species